rnacentral:rRNA from 1 species
AUUGAACGCUGGCGGCAUGCCUUACACAUGCAAGUCGAACGGCAGCACGGGGGCAACCCUGGUGGCGAGUGGCGAACGGGUGAGUAAUGCAUCGGAACGUGCCCAGUAGUGGGGGAUAACCCGGCGAAAGCCGGGCUAAUACCGCAUACGACCUACGGGUGAAAGCGGGGGACCGUAAGGCCUCGCGCUAUUUGAGCGGCCGAUGUCUGAUUAGCUAGUUGGCGGGGUAAAGGCCCACCAAGGCGACGCUCAGUAGCUGGUCUGAGAGGACGACCAGCCACACUGGGAAUGGGAAACGGCCCAGACUCCUACGGGAGGCAGCAGUGGGGAAUUUUGGACAAUGGGCGCAAGCCUGAUCCAGCCAUGCCGCGUGCGGGAAGAAGGCCUUCGGGUUGUAAACCGCUUUUGGCAGGAACGAAACGGCGCAAGCUAAUACCUUGCGCUAAUGACGGUACCUGCAGAAUAAGCACCGGCUAACUACGUGCCAGCCGCCGCCGUAACAC